rnacentral:lncRNA from 1 species
GAACGUGACAUCUCACCCCUGGGUCAGAGGCCACUUCCUGCUCCAUCUUGUAAGUAAAAGCUCUCGCUAUCCUGCGAGUCUCCUGCGCCCACACUGGGGGGUAGAAGUGGGGGAUGGGAGUGUGUGUGGGGGGGAGCAGGGACUGGGGGGAGCUCAAUGACAACUAUUCCUCCCAUGAUUUCAUUGUAGGAACACUUUCCAUUCUUGUAUAAUAUUCAGAAACUAAGUCGGGAAACUCUAUUACAAAGCACAUAUUAAUUAAUAUUUCUAGCUUAUUAACUUAUUCAUGCAUCCAGUAAACAUCAUUGUAGUCUACCGAGGUAACUGUGCCUUGUGUUACCUGCUGGGGAGAUAAAGAUAACUAAAUAUAUUCCUUCUAUGACCUCAAACAAGAAGGAGAGACAGAAAUCUAGACCAAUAAUUACAGCCAUUACAGUAGUUUUAUGAGACAACAGAACAGGAAAAAUGUACCUUUGCCUAUAGGAGGGCAAGGAGGGCACCCAGAAAGUGGUGAUACUGGAAAUGAGCUGUUUGCUUUUUAUUUGGGGUUUUGUUUUUUUGUUUUUUGUUUUUGUUUUUUGUUUUUUGUUUUUUUUUUGGCCAUGCCCACGGCAUGCAGAAGUUCCCAGGCCAGGGACCAAAUCUGAUCCACAGCAGUAACCAGAGUCAAGCAGUAACGACAUCAGAUUCUUAACCCGCUGAGCCACCAGGGAAGUCCUGGAACCGAGUCUUUUGAGCUAACUAGGAACAUACCAGAAGAUGAAGGAGAGGAAGAGCAUUCCAGACAGAUGGAACAGCCAUGGAAAAGCUUUUUUUUCCCCUUGGGUAAGGGGGGACAUUUGCAAUGGUGUACUCCAAUUUGGGUUCUAGGAACUUAGGAUGAAAAGUAGAGUGAAAUGGGAUAGUACUGGCCCACAGUGUUCAGAGUUUGCAAUCAAGGAGCCCCCACAGGCAGCAUUCAAGUGUAAAGACAGAAUUAAAACCAGUGGAAAAUAACACCCACACACCAUCCUAAUGGGGACCAAGCUGGAAGGCAAAACCCGGCAGAAGUAAAAUGGGAACUGGCAGCAGCACAGGUUAGGAGUUGGGGGAGGAGGGAGAGCCUGGAGAGGAGCCUUUGAACAGAGCUACAGGGGAUUUUCAGAGGCAGCUGAAGGGCCGAUCUGGGUGGGGGAGGACAGUGUGGCAGGCACAGAACCUGUUCAGGCAGGCGUGGAAGCAAGACAAAGCCGAGCCCAGUCAGGGAGUUAAGAUCAGUCAUCAUGACUAAUGCCCAGACGAAAAACGAGGAGGGUAGACAAGAGGGAGUCAGGACCUCCAGGACGAGGAACCUUGAAAAGUACCCUCGGGGAACUUGCCAGCUGGGACUUCCCCCGGGGGGCCUGGGCAUCACUGGCAGUUAUCAAUGUGUUGUUCUGUGUGGGAUACAAACACUAUUGUAAUGAUUUUUAAAGCAAUCAGAAAAAUACACUGGGAGUUUGGGGUUAGUAGAUGCAGGCUAUUACAUUUAAAAUGAAUAAGCAAGGAGGUCCUACUGUACAGGCCAGGGAAUUAUAUCCAGCCUCUUGGGACAGGCCACGACGGAAGAUAGUACAAGGAAGGGAAUGUGUCUGUAUCUAUGACUGGGUCACUUUGCUAUACAGCAGAAAUUGGCACAACACUGUAAAUCAACUAUACGUUAAUAAAAAAAAAUUAAAAAGAGAAAAAUAUGUAAUUAGCACAUUAAAUUCAAAAUUAUAUAGAUACAAAACCUGCUUAAGAUGAAGUGUGCAGAGGAGUUCCCAUCGUGGCUCAUCGGAUUUCUUAACCACCGCGCCAUGACGGGAACUCCCAGCACUCAAUCAGUGUCAACUAAAAUUGCUGUUCAUGACUAUCACACACUGAGAGCUUACUGUAUUUCCAGUAUUACAUCCAAGUGUAAUAUUGCUCAAACUUCCGUUAGAACGCUUCUCAUAGGUUUCUACUUCCUAAACCGAACACAAAUCUCCACUUGCUAUUUAAUGGUGAUGUUUCCUUUCUUUGGUGAGCACUAUCAUUAGUUGAUAGUACACAGAAAUAUGUCAUUUAAAUUUUUGGUAACAGUAAAUUUUGUAUUUUUCAAUGUACAUGCCGACUCCUUGAAUAGAUAAAAUGAGAAUUUAACAAUCAUGAAAACAAAUGCAGAGUCUUCACUCUCCCCCAGUGUACCUGCAUUCUAUUCACUCUUCGGUGUCAACCAGGAUAAUGCACAUCCCAAGAGAAAAGACAGGGCAGAAACCACUAGACAUGACAAUCCAUUCUGCCCAACUUCUAAGCAUGGUUACUGAGCUAAAUAUAUCCAUACUCUAUGAUAGGGAGAAGGAUCAUGCAUCCUGCCAAGGGAGCCACAGUGAUGACAGCAGUUGUGAAAUGCUGGCGACCUUGCCGGAGACAGCGAGGGAAAUCAGUGCUAGAUACUUCCAGAGCUGCCAUGGACGGACUGGAAGGCCUAUUUAAAGAAUGGAGGCUUCAGUGGAGAUGCCUCAUCCUUUUAUAAAAGGGCAGCAGUUUCCUUCCAACCCCCUUGUGGCUUUCUUCAAGCUGCCUCAGCUCCAGAGCCGGAAUCUAAUUCCAGAUAUUUUUCAUUUGUCCACAAACCACUACAUGACAACAGGAAUUCAGGCCCAGGAACUAUGCUAAAUUGCAGCAUCUCCAAAUUAUCUUUCUCCUGGAAAGCCCACUUUGAAAUGAAUUUGUUUAAUUAAAGUAUAAUCGAUUUACAAUGCUGUACCAAUUUCUGCUGUACGGCCCAGCGGCCCAUACAUCCUUCUUCUCAUACCAUCUUCAUACAUCAUGUCGUAUCCCAAGAGAAGGGCUAUAGUUCUCUAUGCUUAUGGUAGGACCUCACUGCUUAUCCAUUCUAAAUGUAAUAGUUUGCAUCUACCAACCCCAAACUCCCUGUCCAUCCCUUUCUCUCCCCUCUCCCCCUUGGCAACCACAAGUCUGUUCUCUAUGUCUGUGAGCCUGUUGCUGUUUCGUAGAUAGGCAGUCUUUAAAGGAAGAAUUUUGGAAGACACCCACAAUCCUUUUUGGCAUCAUCAGCAAAACAGCUUCCCUGAAAUGCCUUCAUUAAAAAAAAAAAAA